GCGAGAAGUCCACUGAACCUUAUCAUUUAGAGGAAGGAGAAGUCGUAACAAGGUUUCCGUAGGUGAACCUGCGGAAGGAUCAUUGUCGAAUCCUGCAAAGCAGAACGACCAGAGAA
rnacentral:rRNA from 1 species